AGUGAACGCUGGCGGUAGGCCUAACACAUGCAAGUCGAACGGCAGCACAGUAAGAGCUUGCUCUUACGGGUGGCGAGUGGCGGACGGGUGAGGAAUACAUCGGAAUCUACUUUUACGUGGGGGAUAACGUAGGGAAACUUACGCUAAUACCGCAUACGAUCUACGGGUGAAAGCAGGGGAUCUUCGGACCUUGCGCGAUUGAUUGAGCCGAUGUCGGAUUAGCUAGUUGGCGGGGUAAAGGCUCACCAAGGCAACGAUCCGUAGCUGGUCUGAGAGGAUGAUCAGCCACACUGGAACUGAGACACGGUCCAGACUCCUACGGGAGGCAGCAGUGGGGAAUAUUGGACAAUGGGCGCAAGCCUGAUCCAGCCAUACCGCGUGGGUGAAGAAGGUCUUCGGGUUGUAAAGCCCUUUUGUUGGGAAAGAAAAGCAGCAGGUUAAUCUACCGCUGUUCUGACGGUACCCAAAGAAUAAGCACCGGCUAACUUCGUG
rnacentral:rRNA from 1 species